GACGUAGGGCGCGAGCGUUGUCCGGAUUUAUUGGGCGUAAAGAGCUCGUAGGCGGCUUGUCGCGUCGUCCGUGAAAACCUGCAGCUCAACUGCAGGCUUGCGGUCGAUACGGGCAGGCUGGAGUUCGGUAGGGGAGACUGGAAUUCCUGGUGUAGCGGUGAAAUGCGCAGAUAUCAGGAGGAACACCGGUGGCGAAGGCGGGUCUCUGGGCCGAUACUGACGCUGAGGCGCGAAAGCUAGGGGAGCGAACAGG
rnacentral:rRNA from 1 species